GUUGCUGUGUUGCUUGAUGGAAAUGCUCAUCCUAACAACCGGGCUUUUGAUGGGUUAACUCCUCUUCAUAUUGCUGCAAUGUGGGGACACUUGCAAGCAGUUGAGUUGCUGGUUAACAGUGAUGCAGACAUUGAACUGUGUGACAAUGAGGGGAAAACAGCUCUGAUGUUAUCACGUGAGAUGAACCAGUACCAUGUUGCAAGAUAUCUGGACAAGUUACAGAGACACAUUAUUACUGCUGUGUGCGAGGCUGAAGAGGCGUGUAGCAGGAUGGACCAGACG